rfam:Clostridium thermocellum ATCC 27405, complete genome.
AUUUCAAUUCCUCAUAGGUACGAUACAAAC